rnacentral:rRNA from 1 species
AUUGAACGCUGGCGGCAUGCUUUACACAUGCAAGUCGAACGGUAACAGGCCGCAAGGUGCUGACGAGUGGCGAACGGGUGAGUAAUGCAUCGGAACGUGCCCAGUCGUGGGGGAUAACGCAGCGAAAGCUGUGCUAAUACCGCAUACGAUCUAUGGAUGAAAGCGGGGGACCGUAAGGCCUCGCGCGAUUGGAGCGGCCGAUGUCAGAUUAGGUAGUUGGUGGGGUAAAGGCCUACCAAGCCGACGAUCUGUAGCUGGUCUGAGAGGACGACCAGCCACACUGGGACUGAGACACGGCCCAGACUCCUACGGGAGGCAGCAGUGGGGAAUUUUGGACAAUGGGCGCAAGCCUGAUCCAGCAAUGCCGCGUGCAGGAAGAAGGCCUUCGGGUUGUAAACUGCUUUUGUACGGAACGAAACGGCCUGGGUUAAUACCCUGGGCUAAUGUCGGUACCGUAAGAAUAAGCACCGGCUAACUACGUGCCAGCAGCCGCCGCUGUAA